rnacentral:rRNA from 1 species
AUUGAACGCUGGCGGCAUGCCUUACACAUGCAAGUCGAAUGGCAGCACGGGUGCUUGCACCUGGUGGCGAGUGGCGAACGGGUGAGUAAUACAUCGGAACGUACCUUAUCGUGGGGGAUAACGCAGCGAAAGCUGUGCUAAUACCGCAUACGCCCUGAGGGGGAAAGCGGGGGAUCGCAAGACCUCGCGCGAUUAGAGCGGCCGAUGCCUGAUUAGCUAGUUGGUGGGGUAAAAGCCCACCAAGGCGACGAUCAGUAGCUGGUCUGAGGGGACGAUCAGCCACACUGGGACUGAGACACGGCCCAGACUCCUACGGGAGGCAGCAGUGGGGAAUUUUGGACAAUGGGGGCAACCCUGAUCCAGCAAUGCCGCGUGAGUGAAGAAGGCCUUCGGGUUGUAAAGCUCUUUUGUCAGGGAAGAAACACCGGCUCUAACACAGUCCGGGAAUGACGGUACCUGAAGAAUAAGCACCGGCUAACUACGUGCCAGCCGCCGCAGUAA